GAUGAACGCUGGCGGCGUGCCUAAUACAUGCAAGUCGAGCGAACGGACGAGAAGCUUGCUUCUCUGAUUUUAGCGUCGGACGGGUGAGUAACACGUGGAUAACCUACCUAUAAGACUGGGAUAACUUCGGGAAACCGGAGCUAAUACCGGAUAAUAUUUUGAACCGCAUGGUUCAAAAGUUAAAGACGGUCUUGCUGUCACUUAUAGAUGAAUCCGCGCUGCAUUAGCUAGUUGGUAAGGUAACGGCUUACCAAGGCAACGAUGCAUAGCCGACCUGGGAGGGUGAUCGGCCACACUGGAACUGAGACACGGUCCAGACUCCUACGGGAGGCAGCAGUAGGGAAUCUUCCGCAAUGGGCGAAAGCCUGACGGAGCAACGCCGCGUGAGUGAUGAAGGUCUUCGGAUCGUAAAACUCUGUUAUUAGGGAAGAACAUAUGUGUAAGUAACUGUGCACAUCUUGACGGUACCUAAUCAGAAAGCCACGGCUAACUCCGUG
rnacentral:rRNA from 1 species